rnacentral:rRNA from 1 species
UACAGAGGUGGCAAGCGUUGUUCGGAAUUACUGGGCGUAAAGGGCGCGUAGGCGGCCUUCUAAGUCAGACGUGAAAUCCCCAGGCUUAACCUGGGAACUGCGCUUGUAACUGGCAGGCUUGAGUGCGGCAGAGGGGGGUGGAAUUCCACGUGUAGCAGUGAAAUGCGUAGAGAUGUGGAGGAACACCGAUGGCGAAGGCAGCCCCCUGGGUCGACACUGACGCUCAUGCACGAAAGCGUGGGGAGCAAACAGG